rnacentral:tRNA from 1 species
GGGGUUGUGGCUCAGCUGUAGAGCACUUGCCUCACACGUAUGAAGCACUGAGUUUGAUCCUCAGCACCA